UACGAAGGGGGCUAGCGUUGCUCGGAAUCACUGGGCGUAAAGCGCACGUAGGCGGAUCGUUAAGUCGGGGGUGAAAUCCUGGAGCUCAACUCCAGAACUGCCUUCGAUACUGGCGAUCGUUGGAGUCCGGGAGAGGUGAGUGGAACUCCGAGUGUAGAGGUGAAAUUCGUAGAUAUUCGGAAGAACACCAGUGGCGAAGGCGGCUCACUGGCCCGGUACUGACGCUGAGGUGCGAAAGCGUGGG
rnacentral:rRNA from 1 species